AACUUUUAACAACGGAUCUCUUGGUUCUCGCAUCGAUGAAGAACGUAGCAAAGUGCGAUAACUAGUGUGAAUUGCAUAUUCAGUGAAUCAUCGAGUCUUUGAACGCAUCUUGCACUCACUGGUAUUCCAGUGAGUACGCCUGUUUCAGUA
rnacentral:rRNA from 3 species